GAGAUGACCACGUUGAUAGGCUAUAGGUGUAAAGGCAGUAAUGUCAUAGCCGAGUAGUACUAAUUACCCGUAGGCUUAUGUAC
rnacentral:rRNA from 1 species